rnacentral:misc_RNA from 1 species
UUAAGUUCAGCGGGUAUCCCUACCUGAUCCGAGGUCAAGCGUUAAAAAUGGGCUUGAUGGUUGCUAGUAUUCGUGGGCUAGAAUCGCAAAUUGUGCUGCGCUUCCAUACCAAAACACUGGCUGCCAAUUGUUUUAAGGCGAGUCCAAACACGCGGGAGUGGACAAACACCCAACACCAAGCAGAGCUUGAGAGUACAAAU